rnacentral:rRNA from 1 species
UACGUAGGGUGCAAGCGUUAAUCGGAAUUACUGGGCGUAAAGCGUGCGCAGGCGGUUUUGUAAGACAGAUGUGAAAUCCCCGGGCUCAACCUGGGAACUGCAUUUGUGACUGCACAGCUGGAGUGCGGCAGAGGGGGAUGGAAUUCCACGUGUAGCAGUGAAAUGCGUAGAGAUGUGGAGGAACACCGAUGGCGAAGGCAGCCCCCUGGGUCAAGACUGACGCUCAUGCACGAAAGCGUGGGGAGCAAACAGG